rnacentral:rRNA from 1 species
GCCGGCGGGUGCAAGCGUUAUCCGGAAUCACUGGGCGUAAAGCGUCUGUAGGUGGUGAUGCAAGUCACUGGUGCAAAACUCUGGCUCAACCGGAGGAAAGCCAGUGAAACUGCAUGACUAGAGUGUGGGAGAGGUAGAAGGAAUUCCCUGAGUAGCGGUGAAAUGCGUAGAUACAGGGAAGAACACCGGAGGCGAAAGCGUUCUACUGGAACACAACUGACACUGAGAGACGAAAGCUAGGGGAGCGAAUGGG